UUAACAUUCGUUUAGGAUUUUAAAAUUACAAGGGCACAUAUGCUAUGCCAGGCAGAAGGUCGCAUGCACUCACUGUUGCAUGAAAGUCGUUAAUUUUGGAAUUUUAGUGGUGCUUUGAACUCCUCUUUUUCAGAGAGGAACAUGUAUACAACCAAUGUCUGAUGUUUAGAAUCCAGAAAUUUUACUCAAAUAAGAGUGGCGAUGCUUCAUAAUAAAUUACUCAUGUAAAAGUAAAAAUACAGUAAAAAUUCUCCUAAAAGUACAUUUUUGUU